UGGGGAAUAUUGCACAAUGGGGGGAACCCUGAUGCAGCGACGCCGCGUGGAGGAAGAAGGUCUUCGGAUUGUAAACUCCUGUUGUUGAGGAAGAUAAUGACGGUACUCAACAAGGAAGUGACGGCUAACUACGUGCCAGCAGCCGCGGUAAAACGUAGGUCACAAGCGUUGUCCGGAAUUACUGGGUGUAAAGGGAGCGCAGGCGGGAAGACAAGUUGGAAGUGAAAUCUAUGGGCUCAACCCAUAAACUGCUUUCAAAACUGUUUUUCUUGAGUAGUGCAGAGGUAGGCGGAAUUCCCGGUGUAGCGGUGGAAUGCGUAGAUAUCGGGAGGAACACCAGUGGCGAAGGCGGCCUACUGGGCACCAACUGACGCUGAGGCUCGAAAGUGUGGGUAGCAAACAGGAUUAGAUACCCUGGUAGUCCACACCGUAAACGAUGAUUACUAGGUGUUGGAGGAUUGACCCCUUCAGUGCCGCAGUUAACACAAUAAGUAAUCCACCUGGGGAGUACGACCGCAAGGUUGAAACUCAAAGGAAUUGACGGGGGCCCGCACAAGCAGUGGAGUAUGUGGUUUAAUUCGACGCAACGCGAAGAACCUUACCAAGUCUUGACAUCCCUUGACGAACAUAGAAAUAUGUUUUCUCUUCGGAGCAAGGAGACAGGUGGUGCAUGGUUGUCGUCAGCUCGUGUCGUGAGAUGUUGGGUUAAGUCCCGCAACGAGCGCAACCCUUAUGGUCAGUUACUACGCAAGAGGACUCUGGCCAGACUGCCGUUGACAAAACGGAGGAAGGUGGGGAUGACGUCAAAUCAUCAUGCCCCUUAUGACCUGGGCUACACACGUACUACAAUGGAUGUUAACAGAGGGAAGCAAGACAGCGAUGUGGAGCAAACCCCUAAAAACAUUCUCAGUUCAGAUUGCAGGCUGCAACCCGCCUGCAUGAAGAUGGAAUUGCUAGUAAUCGCGGAUCAGCAUGCCGCGGUGAAUACGUUCCC
rnacentral:rRNA from 1 species